GCGUCGGUGGGUGUAGUGGUAGCACGCGGCCCCAGUACGAGUGGAACACGGGUUCAAUUGCCGUCUGAGGUC